AACGAACGCUGGCGGCAGGCUUAACACAUGCAAGUCGAGCGCCCCGCAAGGGGAGCGGCAGACGGGUGAGUAACGCGUGGGAAUCUACCCAUCUCUACGGAAUAACGCAUGGAAACGUGUGCUAAUACCGUAUACGUCCUUCGGGAGCAAGAUUUAUCGGAGAUGGAUGAGCCCGCGUUGGAUUAGCUAGUUGGUGGGGUAAAGGCCUACCAAGGCGACGAUCCAUAGCUGGUCUGAGAGGAUGAUCAGCCACACUGGGACUGAGACACGGCCCAGACUCCUACGGGAGGCAGCAGUGGGGAAUAUUGGACAAUGGGCGCAAGCCUGAUCCAGCCAUGCCGCGUGAGUGAUGAAGGCCCUAGGGUUGUAAAGCUCUUUCACCGGUGAAGAUAAUGACGGUAACCGGAGAAGAAGCCCCGGCUAACCUCGUGCCAGCAGCCGCGGUAACAC
rnacentral:rRNA from 1 species